rnacentral:rRNA from 1 species
CUACCAGUCAUACAUACUUUCUGGGAAGCGAUUCCCGGGGGAGUUCUAUGAGGGACUGACUGGGGUUACCAGUAGGAAGUUUGAGGCAAUAACAGGUCUGUGAUGCCCUUAGAUGUUCUGGGCUGCACGCGCGCUACACUGAUGGAGGCAGCGAGUUUGGGCCUGCGCCGGAAGGUGUGGGAAAUCUUGUGAAACUCCAUCGUGCUGGGGAUAGACCAUUGCAAUUAUUGGUCUUCAACGAGGAAUUCCUAGUAAGCGCAAGUCAUCAGCUUGCGUUGAUUACGUCCCUGCCCUUUGUACACACCGCCCGUCGCU